AGCAGAAGCGGAGCCUUUAAGAUGAAUAUAAAUCCUUAUUUUCUCUUCAUAGAUGUGCCCGUACAGGCAGCAAUUUCAACAACAUUCCCAUACACUGGUGUUCCCCCUUAUUCCCAUGGAACAGGAACAGGCUACACAAUAGACACCGUGAUCAGAACGCAUGAGUACUCAAACAAGGGGAAACAGUACAUUUCUGAUGUUACAGGAUGCACAAUGGUAGAUCCAACAAAUGGACCAUUACGGAUGCACGAUUAGAUUAUGAAUCAGGGAGAAUGUCAAAGGAUGAUUUUGAGAAAGCAAUGGCUCACCUUGGUGAGAUUGGGUACAUAUAAGCUUCGAAGAUGUUUAUGGGGUUAUUGGUCAUCAUUGAAUACAUGCGAUACACAAAUGAUUAAAAUGAAAAAAGGCUCGUGUUUCUACU
rnacentral:sRNA from 1 species